GAUUCCUAAGUAGCACAAGUUGAGCACACAAGUAACACUCAGAGUGCCAAAAAAAGUUGGUUUGAGGGAAGUGUGCAGAUAUUGUAGGCUACAGGGGAGUCGAUGCUUCGUAGAGAGAGAGCUGAUUUGCAUGAGGCUGUGGAUUCUGCAAGCUAGUCAGAGCCCAUACAGUGUGUUGUCCUGAUAGAAGUAUAGCAGUCAGUGCUAAGGCUUGCUCGCCCAUGGAACUGCCUGGCUUCUGACUAAUAUUUCAUCAAACACAGCAUCAGGUCAUUGGAAAACACAGACUGCUUCCCAGUGUGAGAGAGCUCUUAGCAGUGCUG
ensembl:lncRNA